rnacentral:rRNA from 1 species
GAUGAACGCUGGCGGCGUGCCUAAUACAUGCAAGUCGGGCGAAUGGAUUAAGAGCUUGCUCUUAUGAAGUUAGCGGCGGACGGGUGAGUAACACGUGGGUAACCUGCCCAUAAGACUGGGAUAACUCCGGGAAACCGGGGCUAAUACCGGAUAACAUUUUGAACCGCAUGGUUCGAAAUUGAAAGGCGGCUUCGGCUGUCACUUAUGGAUGGACCCGCGUCGCAUUAGCUAGUUGGUGAGGUAACGGCUCACCAAGGCAACGAUGCGUAGCCGAGCUGAGAGUGGGAUCGGCCACACUGGGACUGAGACACGGCCCAGACUCCUACGGGAGGCAGCAGUAGGGAAUCUUCCGCAAUGGACGAAAGUCUGACGGAGCAACGCCGCGUGAGUGAUGAAGGCUUUCGGGUCGUAAAACUCUGUUGUUAGGGAAGAACAAGUGCUAGUUGAAUAAGCUGACACCUUGACGGUACCUAACCAGAAAGCCACGGCUAACUACGUGCCAGCCGCCGCAGUAA